UGAGAAGCUUCUGUACACGUACACACACACACACACACUCUCAUAUCCCAAUCUCUGGGGCCCCGGGGCAGGCCAAUUACGUUAAAAUCCCAGGAGUCAGGGCUUGAGCAUCAGUAUUUUUCCAAAGCUCCCCAUGUACAUCCAGGGUUAAGAAUCACUGCAGUGAAUGAGCCAGCCCUUGCCCAGAGCACACAGACUCACCAAUUAUGCAGGCUUUUUUUCUUUUUUCUUUUUUUUUCUUUUUGAGGCCGCACCUACAGCGUAUGGAAGUUACCGGGCUAGGGGUUAAAUCAGCGGCAGCUGCUGGUCUACACCACAUCAACGUGAGAUCAGAGCCACAUCUGCAACAUACACCACAGCUCACGGCAAUACUGGAUCCUUAACCCACUGAGCAAGGCCAGGGAUCAAACCCGAAUCCUCCAAGACACUAUGUUGGGUUCUUAACCCAUGGACCACAACAGAAACUCUCUAUGCAGGCUUUGGUGUUGCCUGCCAAGCCCCCUAAGACCCAGGCCAGGAAGAAUGGGAGGAUCUGGAGCCCACGGCUGGUGAAAAGUUCCAGUUCUCAUUCUUCCUUGGGCCCCUCUCUUGUUUAGGGCAAGCAGGGAGGGGGGCCCCAAGGAGCUGGGUCACAGUAACUCUGGAACGGAUUCCAGCAGGUGUAACAGCAUCAGCACAGACUCUGGUAUGGACUUUCCAGCUCGGGCUGGCCUGCAGAGAGAACCAUGGUCAUGAUAAAAGAGGGGCAUGUCUCUUUUCCAUGGCACUAAGUGGGUGGAAACUUGGCCUUUCUUUUCUUUUCUUUUUUUUUUUUUUUUUUUUUUUUUGUUCUUUUUAGGGCUACACCUGUGGCAUAUGGAGUCCAAUCAGAGCUGUAGCCACUGGCCUACACCACAGCCACGGCAACAAGGGAUCUGAGCCACAUCUGCGACCUAUACCACAGCUCACGGCAACGCCGGAUCCUGAACCUGCUGAGCGAGGCCAGGGAUUGAACCCGUGUCCUCAUGGAUGCUAGUCAGGUUUGUUAACCACUGAGCCACGGGGAACUCUGAAACUUGGGCUUUCCACGCAGAUAACCAGACAUUGAGGGGGACACUGCAUAAGGAACCCGCUCUUCAUUUAAAAUUUUGUUUUUGACACCCACUUAUGUAUUUCACACACAGCACAGGAACUUAAAUUCGAUCUGCUGCAUUGUAAUUUCUUGCUUUUAAUUUAAGGCCUCCAGGCCUCAGCUAAUUUAAGGGACAAUCUGGUGAUGAAAAGGAGACUAUCUUCCUAUAACAACGUCAUUAGCAUAAAAGACUGCUUCCCAAAUGGGGAGCACAACUGAGACUUUCCAAAUCUCACCUACACUCUCGGAGUUCUUUAAAGCUCCAUUACCUGAGCCAUAAAAAAUAACGUCCGUCUACCACAUAGCAAAUCCUGCUUGUGUCCAUCUCUUCUAUUCUCCACCAAACUGUUCAUUUAACAUCUCUCUGCUCUUAAAUAUGAGACGGCUGCCUUUGAAGCCAGGGAACAAACAGCAGCAUGAUUCAUCACUUUGCCACCUUCAAACAGUGAUUCGACCGCAUCCUGCUGGCUCUCAGUGAGAACAGCAGGCAUUGAAUCAUCAAUAAGCCCCCAGCUGAGAUCAGAAGUCCCACCCCAGGCACAGGGUACCAACUGCUUGUCAUUGGUGGAUGCGAGCACUGAUGGCCCAGCUGCUCUGCGUCUGAUGGUAGCAUGGGGAGAAAGCCAGGUUAUAGGGUUCACUGUGGGUGGCUCUGACCAGCAGGCCAGGGAACUUGAGAUGAUGACUCAAAGGGACAUUCAUCUUGAUUGGAUCACCUAGAUUCAAGCAGGUGCUCUGAACUCAUCGCCCUGGGGUGCCUUACACAGGGUGGGGGGGCCUUCAGCAGAAUUUCUGUCCAUAGUGGAAAGUUACAGCCACUCGUGCUGGCUUUCUGAGAGCUCAUCCCUGAGAUCUGCAGUGAAAUAACCUAUGUUUUCAAAAGGUCUUGUCUUCCCCUUGCCUUACCCUCAACCCUCAUCCUCACCACUGCCCCCCUCUGUCCUCAAAAAGUGCUUGCCACAUAGAGAACAUUCAGUCGACAUUUACAAUAAAAUUGCCAAAAGGCAAAUAAGCCAUCCUCCAUAAAAAGCUAACCCACAAAGCAAUACUGAGGAAUCAGGCUCCCUGACUUCAGACUCUACCACAAAGCUAUAAUCAUCAAGACAGUAUGGUACUGGUACAAAAACAGAAGUAUUUAUUGAUCAAUGGAACAGGAUAGAAAGCCCAAAUACCUAUGGUCAACUAUUCUAUGGCAAAGGAGGCAAGAACAUACAGUGGAGGAAAGACAGUCUCUUCAAUAAAUGCUUCUGGGAAAACUGGACAAUUGCAUGUAAGAGAAUGAAAUUAGAACAUUGUCUAACACCAUACACAAAAAUAAACUCAAAAUGGAUUAAAGACCUAAAUGUAAGGCCAGACACAAUAAAACUCCUAGAGGAAAACAUAGGCAGAACCUCUUUGACAUAAAUCACAGCAAUAGCUUGUUUGAUCCACCCCCUAGAAUAAAGACAAUAAAGACACAAAUAAACCAAUGGGACCUAAUUAAACUUAAAAGCUUCUUCAAAGCAAAGGAAACCAUUAAAAAAAUAAAAAGACAACCCACAGAAUGGGAGAAAAUCUUUGCCUCAAAUGACAAAGGUUUAAUCUCUAAAAUAUACAAACUCAUACAACUCAACAAUAAAAAAAAAACCCAACUGAAAAAUGGGCAGAAGACCUUAGUAAACAUUUCACCAAAGAAGACAUACAGAUAGCCAGUAGGCACAUGAAAAAAUGCUCAACAUCACUAAUUAUUGGAUGCAUGUCAAAACUACAAUGAGAUACCACCUCACACUAGUUGGAGUGGCCAUCAUUAACAAGUCAAAUGCAACAAAUGCAUGCACUGAAGACAUGUUUCUUUGAAAACUCCAUCUUGUCCUUCUUUACUUUAUCCCAUCUUCAUUCUUUAUCCAAUCUUCCUCCUUGAAAAACAGUCACAGUGCUGGUAAAUGACUUAAGCUUAAGAACAAAGACUGUUAUGUGCCUAAAGUUCAGAGUAAAAGUAACCUUUUACCAGCUAAGUGGCUUUUAAAAUAGUAAAAGAACUUAUAAAAUAGUUAACAAACCCUAUAUCCGCCACACCCAUAGCCCCUCCUCACUUGAUCUCAUCUAAAGAGCACAAUAAAAGCGUGUGGUUCCUUGAGGCAGGGCUCUUGGUCCCUGAGACCUUGAGUCCCCUGGUUCCCACCUUUACUGUCGCUGUGCCCGGUUUUAUGUUAACUCUUUUCCUUAAGUGUCACAGCACCCGUUCUUCAGCCCCAUCCUGCUGAGCUGGUCUCGGCAGAGAGGAUGUGGAAAAAAGGGAGCACUCCUACAUUGUUGGUGGGAAUGUAAAUUGGUACAACCACUAUGGAAAACAGUAUGGAGGUACCUCAGAGAACUAAAUACGGAACUACCAUAUGAUCCAGCAAUCCCACCCUUGGGCAUAUAUCCAGACCAAAAAAAAUUUCAUUGAAAAAGAUAUAUGCACCCAUCUGUUCAUCACAGCACUAUUCACAAUAGCCAAGACAUGGAAACAACCUAAAUGCCCAUCGAUGAAUAAAUGGCUUAGGAAGAUGUGGUACAUAUAUACAGUGGAACACUACUUAGCCAUAAGAAAGACAAAAUAAUACCAUUUGCAGCAUCAUGGAUGGAACUAGAGACUCUCAUACUGACUGAAGAAAGUCAGAAAGAGAUCACCUGUGCCCUAUUCUAGACUCCACAUAUAAGGGAUAUUAUAUGGUGUUUGUCUCUUUCUAAAAGUGACCUCACACUUAUUUUUAGAAAAGAUUACUAUGCUCCUUGGAGAAUGGGCUGGAAGAGGCCACAGUGAUAGGGGCUGGCCCAAACAAAGGUGCCAUAUACAAAACAUAGAAUAUAUCUGAUACCUUAAGUCAUCACUGAAGAUGAAAAUCACAUGUAGUUAGUAUGAUCCUCAAAAAUCCCUUAUGAACCAUUAAAAGUCAACAGACUGACCUCUUGCAGUAAGUCCAACCCACCAACCCAGUCAGUAUUAGAAUAUAUCAACGAUUAUUUGAUGGAACCCCAGAUGAUGUAGCUACCUAUGGUGAGGGAUGCUUUAUAGAUUAGAUAAGGUAUAGCUAGAGAUAUAGUGAUACAAAGAGAAAUAGAUAAGCAGAUAAUCUCCAACCACUGGAUUCACAUCCCCCAUGGAGAGAGGUCCACAUUCCCAGAAGCCUGCAGACCCAGAGCCUGAACAGGGAAUGGCUGGUCCACACCUCUGACCUCACACUCACUUCAGGGCACAUUCUCAGUGAGUGUAUUAAUCUGCUCAGGCUGCUGUGACAAAACACUACAAAUUGUAUGACUUAAAUCACAGAUAUUUAUUUUCUCACAGUUCUGGAGUCUGGACUUUCAAAAUCAAGGUGCUGGCAGGUUGAUUUCUCCUGAGGCCUCUCGCCUUGGCUUGCAGACGGCCACCUUCUUGCUGUGUCCUUAUGUGAUCUCUCUCUAUGCCUGCACAUUCCUGGGGUCUCUUUUUGUGUCCCAAUUUCCUCUCCUUAUAAGGACACCAGUCAGACUGGAUGUGAGUCCAUCCUAAUGGCCUCAUUUUAACCUAAUACCUUCUUUAAGUCUCUGUCUUCAAAUGCGGUUGCAUUCUGAGGUGCUGGGGGCUAGGGCUUCAACAUAAGAAUCUGGGGGGCAAAUAAAAUCUUUCUCUCCCCAUGUCCCCUUCCUUCUUUCUCAUCUUCUCUGUCUCCAGCAGGUAGAAAUGAAUUUGCAUAAAGUCAAUGCACACACCAUCAACAGCGAAUGUCUCGGGCACAAGAUCUAUGCUGAGUGGAUGGCAGGUACAGUAAAUACAUCAAGUUUGGAGGGUGGUGAGCUCACAGAGAGCUAAGAAGUUCCACUGGUAGGCAAGAAAGGAGGUGGGGCUUCUGAGCGCGCCUAUGAACAGAUAUCUGGGAAAGGAGCCUAGAGAAGGGGACAAAGAGAAGCGUGAAUACUGGAGUGGUUAAGAUGCACCCAGGUGUGUGCUGAGAAGCAAGAGCAGCUGAAGGUAGCAGAGGGUUCAUGCUGUGGAGGUGGGAGAGCAAACAGGCUGGAAGUAAAGUCUUGAGGAGCAAGAGUGGAGAACAAUGAAUAGAGUCAUUGCCCUGUAGACACUGUAAAAUCAUUCAAGACUCUAGAGUCCAGGGAUGGCACAGUGAAGGAGAGGAGAGGCCCGCUUAAUGCAAGAGACCAACAAGAGAGACAGCACAAGGUUGCAAAUAGCUAGAGGCCUGGAGGUGACAUAAGACUUCCCGCAAUAUUCUGCUCAAAGUCAAGGUCAGAAAGAGCUAUUAUGAUCUCAGCCUGAAUACCCUCCCCACAAAUACCAGAACUGUCACAUGACUCACUAGCUCCAAGACAUUAAUCAAAAUACAAAAACCAACCUCAUGCCAACAAAAAUCAAUUUCUGCUUUACCCUUUGCUUUACAAAUGAUCUAGAUUUUCCAAGAGCAGUAGGAGAAAUAAGGUCCAAUAAGAUCAUUUUAUGCAAGAAACAGUCUCCUUUUCAAUAAAUAGUUGAAACCAUUCUCCCUGGUUUCUGAAUUACACUACUCUCUGAAGAUAUAUAAAUAUCAGGCAGCAGUUUUAUUUCCUGUGAAUGGGGAGCUUUAGUUUAAUAAGGAGGAGAGAGGCAGGGUGAUAGACUUUUGGAAAUGAAGCAAGAUCUGUUAGAUCAUCUCGGCCAUUUCUCUGGGCCCACCCGAGAUUGCUCCCAGCUGCACUGGCAUAUUCACUGCUGCUCAGGCUCCUCCAGUCUUAAAUGAUUUAAGGGUAAUAUAUUAAAAGCUCAUGACCAGCCAUAAAGAGGUGCUUCUUCCUGAGACACUAGCAAAGACUUGGCUGUAAUUUUAGAUGGAUGCAUGUCCCACCAGAGGUCUGGGGGGCACCUUGCUGUUCUUCAGACUGAAUCACACCAGGGCCAUGGCAGUCUCAUCCAUCUGGACUAUGGUCACCAUCCAAGGACAAGUACAAAUGCCAUGUGCGUUUAUCAAAGCCCCAAAGCAGCCAUGGGCUGUGUGGGUUCUUAUUACCAUGGCGGUCAGUACAGACAAGGCCAUUCUCUCCAUUUUGACACCUCCUUUGUACACAAGCAAAGUGGAACAGGGCAAACAUAGUGUCCUCUACCUCUUCCCCACAGGAGUACACAUUAUUUCCACUGAGCUCCAGGAGUGAUCCAUCUCAGGACGGGGCGGAGGGGGGGGCUCCACAACCAGGAAGAUCCUGAGCCUCACACACUCUCACCACCCCCGCCCCAUCGCAUUAGGCCCAUAGGAUCAAAAUGCUCUGAGUACAUUUUUUAAAUUUAAUUUUAUUGGUGUAUAAUUGAUUUACCAUGUUGUUUUAAUUUCAGGUAUACAGCAAAGAAAAUCAGUCUUACAUAUAAAUACAUCCAUUAUUUUUUCCCAUGUAGGUUAGUAGAAACUACCCAGUAGAUUUUCCUGUGCUAUCCAGUAGAUUCUCGUUAAUCAUCUGUUUUACACGGUAGCGUGUCUAUGUUAUUCCCACCCUCCCAAUUCUUCCCUCCCCGCCAAGGUUUCACCUACGGUAGCCAUAAGAUUGGUUUCAAAAUCCAUGAGUUUGUUUCUAUUCUUUAAGUUCUUUUGUAUUAUUUUUAUUAGAGUCUAUGUAUAAGUGAUAUCAAUAUGAUAUUUGUCUUUCUCUGUCUCACUGACUUCACUCAGUAUGAUAAUCUCUAGGUCCAUCCAUGUUGCUGCAAAUGGCAUUAUUUCAUUCUUUUUUACAGCAGAAAAAUAUUCCAGUCUAUGUAUGUACCACAUUUUCUUUGUCCAUUCAUCUGUCAAAGGACUUUAGGUUGCUUCCAUGUCUUGGCUAUUGUAAAUAGUAUGCAAUGAACAUUGGGGUACAUGUAUCUUUUUGAAUUGUUGUUUUUUCCAAAUGUAUGACCAGAGUGGUUUUUCUAGAUAUAUAACCAGAGUGGCAUUGCUGGUCUGAUAAUUUUAACCAUUUGAAAGUCUGGGUGGCAAUGCAUUGUUCAGGCUUAGAAAUAGAGGGGCAGGUAAAAAGAAACGGGGUGACUCAACCAAGAGGCUAAAGCCCCUUCAUAGUCUCUAAACAAGUCUUUAGAAUAACAAUAAUCAUCACUUGAUUUAGCAAGUGUGUACUACACCCAUACACACAUGCACACACACACACUCAUGUGUAUAUACACAGACAAUUUCUCUUUUUAUAGUAUACCCUUGGGUACUUACUAUCAUUAUUCUUAUUUUACAGGUAGGGAAACUGAGUUUUAGGGCAGUUAAUUCACUCACCCUUGUUUUCAUAACUCUUCUGCUCCACCCAUCUAAUCAGCAGUGUUGGGGCCCCUCCUAGACUUGCCGUCAUCACUCUUCACUUGAGUCCUUGUGACACUGGCAUUCCUUGAUGUGGACACAAAGGCCUAAUAUCCCUGCUGUGGGACUCAUUUACUAUAUGAGGUACAAAAAGUCACAUCUCUCACGAAUUCCAACAAUAUCUUCUGCAUAGUAACUCCAGGAGAAACUUCUUCCAGCCUCAGUACCUAAUAGAGCUGCAUGUCUACUGAGCAACUGGUUUUUACCUUCAGACGUUACAAAAAAAUACAAAUGAUGAUAUCCCCCUUUUUGCAUUUGCAACUAGGGAACUCUAGAACCAAUUUCUAUCCUACCUCUAUAUAAGAUAUCAUGCCAUGACUGGGGAUAACAAUAUUGCUCCCAGUUUUGAUUUCUUUCUUCUUUCUCCCCCCCGACCCAAUUUCCUCACUUAAAAUUAUUUUACUCUUAUUGGCAUUAUAAGCACUUUUAUAAGUUACCACAAGCACUUCUUGAAAUAAGAUGAGAUACAAAUAUAUUUCAAAAUAAAAAGAUCUGGAGGUGUGUAUGUCCUGUGAACAUGCAAAAAAUCAUCUAGCUGUAUAGUUAUUAAUUUAUUUGUUAAGAAGCAAAAAUGAUGAAGUAAGUAGCUCUAAAAGCCCAUUCCUCCUCAGAAGCACCAAAAAAAAAAAAAA
rnacentral:lncRNA from 1 species